AUCUCUGUAGAGUCUGCAUAUCAAUAACGGAGGAAAAGAAACUAACUAGGAUUCCCUUCAGUAACGGCGAGUGAAGCGGGAAGAGCUCAAAUUUGAAAUCUUCAAGGUUUUACCUUGACGAAUUGUAGUUUAAAGAAGUGUUUUCUGUUGGUGUUUUGGUAAAAGUUCUUUGGAAUAGGACAUCAUAGAGGGUGAGAAUCCCGUAUUUGACCAUUACUUCCAGCGUUGUGAUACACUUUCAAAGAGUCGGAUUGUUUGGGAAUGCAGCCCAAAAUGGGUGGUAAAUUUCAUCUAAAGCUAAAUAUUGGCGAGAGACCGAUAGCGAACAAGUACCGUGAGGGAAAGAUGAAAAGAACUUUGAAAAGAGAGUUAAACAGUACGUGAAAUUGUCAAAAGGGAAGCGUUUGACACCAGUGUUGUUUUCUCGAAAAUCAAUUAAAAAAAGUUGGAUUUUGUAUUGUUAAGACCUUAUCAGCUUACUGUACUCUUUUUUUGCUUUUUUUAAUGCACUUUUCGUUUAACAAGUCAACAUCAAUUUCUUUUGUUGUAAAAGAGUCAUUGGAAGGUGGCUUUCACUUCGGUGAAAGUGUUUAUAGCCUUUGGCUUCUGCGAUCGGAGAGAUUGAGGUCUGCAGCGUAGAUCCUUCGGGGCUAGAUACGUAGAUGCUAAGUUAUAGUUUUUUAUAGACAACUUGUUGACUAUAAUUAAUCAUGUAGCUUACUCGUUUGCGCUAUUUUACCUACGCUUAGGAUGUUGACGAUCAGCUGAGCGCG
rnacentral:rRNA from 1 species